rnacentral:rRNA from 1 species
AUUGAACGCUGGCGGCAUGCCUUACACAUGCAAGUCGAACGGCAGCACGGGUGCUUGCACCUGGUGGCGAGUGGCGAACGGGUGAGUAAUACAUCGGAACAUGUCCUGUAGUGGGGGAUAGCCCGGCGAAAGCCGGAUUAAUACCGCAUACGAUCUACGGAUGAAAGCGGGGGACCUUCGGGCCUCGCGCUAUAGGGUUGGCCGAUGGCUGAUUAGCUAGUUGGUGGGGUAAAGGCCUACCAAGGCGACGAUCAGUAGCUGGUCUGAGAGGACGACCAGCCAACCUUGGACUGAGACAACGGCCAGAACCCCACGGGAGGGAGGAGUGGGGAAUUUUGGACAAUGGGCGAAAGCCUGAUCCAGCAAUGCCGCGUGUGUGAAGAAGGCCUUCGGGUUGUAAAGCACUUUUGUCCGGAAAGAAAUCCUUGGCCCUAAUACGGUCGGGGGAUGACGGUACCGGAAGAAUAAGCACCGGCUAACUACGUG